GUUAUAUGGUCAAGUGACCAAGCGUGCACGGUGGAUGCCUUGGCAGUCAGAGGCGAUGAAGGACGUGGUAAUCUGCGAAAAGGUUCGGGGAGUCGAUAAACAGGCUUUGAUCCGAACAUGUCCGAAUGGGGAAACCCACUCUACUUGUAGAGUAUCCCACAGUGAAUACAUAGCUGUGUGGAGGCGAACCCGGGGAACUGAAACAUCUAAGUACCCGGAGGAAAAGAAAUCAACCGAGAUUCCCUAAGUAGCGGCGAGCGAAAGGGGAUUAGCCCUUAAGUGGUUUUGGUGUUAGUAGAAGGCUCUGGAAAGUGCCGCAAUAGAGGGUGAUAGCCCCGUAUACGAAAACACCUUAAUCAUGAAAACGAGUAGGACGGGACACGUGUUAUCCUGUCUGAAUAUGGGGGGACCAUCCUCCAAGGCUAAAUACUCCUGACUGACCGAUAGUGAACCAGUACCGUGAGGGAAAGGCGAAAAGAACCCCUGUGAGGGGAGUGAAAUAGAUCCUGAAACCGUGUACGUACAAGCAGUGGGAGCGGACUUGUUCCGUGACUGCGUACCUUUUGUAUAAUGGGUCAACGACUUAUUUUCAGUAGCAAGGUUAAGCG
rnacentral:rRNA from 1 species